rnacentral:rRNA from 1 species
AGUCAACCUUGAAAUACCACCCUGAUUUGUUUGAGGUUCUAACCUUGGUCCGUGAAUCCGGAUCGGGGACCGUGCAUGGUAGGCAGUUUGACUGGGGCGGUCUCCUCCCAAAAGGUAACGGAGGAGUACGAAGGUACGCUUAGGGCGGUCGGACAUCGCCCACAAAGUGCAAUGGCAAAAGCGUGCUUGACUGCGAGACCCACAAGUCGAGCAGGUACGAAAGUAGGUCAUAGUGAUCCGGUGGUUCUGUAUGGAAGGGCCAUCGCUCAACGGAUAAAAGGUACUCUGGGGAUAACAGGCUAAUUCCUCCCAAGAGUUCAUAUCGACGGGGGAGUUUGGCACCUCGAUGUCGGCUCAUCACAUCCUGGGGCUGUAGUCGGUCCCAAGGGUAUGGCUGUUCGCCAUUUAAAGUGGUACGCGAGCUGGGUUUAAACGUCGUGAGACAGUUUGGU